GACGUAGGGGGCGAGCGUUGUCCGGAUUUAUUGGGCGUAAAGCGCGCGUAGGCGGCCGCGCAAGUCGGAUGUGAAAACCCGGGGCUCAACCUCCAGACGUCGACGGAAACCGUGUGGCUAGAGUCCGGAAGAGGAGAGUGGAAUUCCUGGUGUAGCGGUGAAAUGCGCAGAUAUCAGGAAGAACACCAAUGGCGAAGGCAGCUCUCUGGGACGGUACUGACGCUGAGACGCGAAAGCGUGGGGAGCGAACAGG
rnacentral:rRNA from 1 species